AGCCAGGGAGGAUCGUUCUUCAGACGUUGUAGUCGGGGUCGCUGGUUGGGAGCUGGUCGGGUUGCAAAUGAUAUAUCUUCGGGCUACUUUGUUCGCAGCAUUGACGGCGGUUGCGCAGGAAUGCGUUGUUGGGACUUGUCGACGGGCUUGGAGCCGGGAUGCAAUGCGGAUGAGGCACCAGUGAUCCACCGGGAGCCCAUAUCUGGUUUGUUAUUUGAGGGGGAACCGCCAUCCAGGAGGUCUGUGAAACCACAGUGAUUUUGUUGUCUAUAUCCAUGAUAUGAUGAUUGAGGGCAGUUGGCAGUUCACAGAGAUUUCUGCGCGGUUGAGAUAGUUAUUUAUUCUGAUCUUCCUUCUUGCUUGGCGAGGUUGUUUUCUGUUUCGGUCUCUGAUUUUUCAGUUUUCUAUCUCGACCUUCGCAUGCUAAAACACACCCACCAUCCACCAGGCAUACCUUGGUUUUAUCUUCCCACCGGAUCAGUCAUAGCGCUGGCAACCAUUCAGCAGUGGCUUGCCAGUGGCCUUCAGGAAACCGUCAGCAAUUUCUCUAAUAUCUUCGUCACAGGAC
rnacentral:sRNA from 1 species